GUGACAAUAGCUACAAGGAUACACCCGUUCCCAUGCCGAACACGGAAGUUAAGCUUGUAAACGCCGAAAGUACUUGAUUGGAAGCGAUCUGGGAGGAUAGGAAGUUGC
rnacentral:rRNA from 1 species